rnacentral:rRNA from 1 species
AGAGUUGAUCCUGGCUUAGGACGAACGCUGGCGGCGUGCCUAACACAUGCAAGUGAGCGAGGAGAUCCCUCGGGGAUGAACCUAGCGGCGGACGGGUGAGUAACACGUGGGCAACCUGCCUUAUAGAGGGGAAUAGCCUUCCGAAAGGAAGAUUAAUACCGCAUAACAUUACAUUUUCGCAUGAAGAAGUAAUUAAAGGAGUAAUCCGCUAUAAGAUGGGCCCGCGGCGCAUUAGCUAGUUGGUGAGGUAACGGCUCACCAAGGCGACGAUGCGUAGCCGACCUGAGAGGGUGAUCGGCCACAUUGGGACUGAGACACGGCCCAGACUCCUACGGGAGGCAGCAGUGGGGAAUAUUGCACAAUGGGGGAAACCCUGAUGCAGCCAACGCCGCGUGAGUGAUGAAGGUCUUCGGAUCGUAAAGCUCUGUCUUCAGGGACGAUAAUGACGGUACCUGAGGAGGAAGCCACGGCUAACUACGUGCCAGCAGCAGC